rnacentral:rRNA from 1 species
CAUGGCUCAGGAUUAACGCUGGCGGCGUGCCUAACACAUGCAAGUCGAGCGGCAGCGAGUUUUACACUGAAUUCUGGAAGCUUCUAGUUGAAAGAGAAGAUUUAUUCAAGAAUUUUGUGUAAAAUGUCGGCGAGCGGCGGACGGCUGAGUAACGCGUGGGAACGUACCCCAAAGUGAGGGAUAACGCAUCGAAAGGUGUGCUAAUACCGCAUAUGGUCUUCGGAUUAAAGCCUUCGGGCGCUUUGGGAACGGCCUGCGUAAGAUUAGAUAGUUGGUGGGGUAAUGGCCUACCAAGUCGACGAUCUUUAACUGGUUUGAGAGGAUGAUCAGUCAGACUGGAACUGAGACACGGUCCAGACUCCUACGG